GUCCUUCUAGUUUACCAAAAUUGUGGCUUUUCAAGCCACAGAGCUGAGUGAAAGCCUCAGGAAGGGCA
rnacentral:tRNA from 1 species